ensembl:snoRNA U3 Small nucleolar RNA U3
AAGGUUAUGCUUUCAGGGAUCAUUUCUCUAGUUGGUGACUGGAGAAGGGUGGUUGUCAAAGCCUGGUCUUGCUAACCAUGAUGAGGAACUGUAGUGUUUCUUUCUGAGCAUGACAAUGGCUGAAAAUGCUGUUUUGUGGCAACUGCUUUCUGCUGUGGAAAAGUGUUUUGCUUUUCCUGGGAAGAGCAGGGGAAAGAAACACAGUCUGAGUGGU